GCGGAGGUGGCGGAAUUGGCAGACGCGCUGGAUUCAGGUUCCAGUGGUAGCAAUACUGUGUGGGUUCAAGUCCCAUCCCCCGCACCA
rnacentral:tRNA from 1 species